CAGGUCUACAAGAACGCGCAGAGAAACACAUUUCUGCUGACUCCGAGGCAUACGACGAAAGAAGCAUCAAAGAUCUCAAUGCCGGGCUAAGCAAACCAUCGGACCCCAGCUUCCACAACAUCAUUGACCAAUGGUAUCAGGAGGGUCGGAGAUUUUCUUUCUCUUCUAAAAAGUUUACUCGGGACAAAUGGCCGCUUUUUUCUAAUUUAGUUGACCCUUUACUGCACAAAGUGGGUUGUGCGAAAAAUACUUAUAGGCGGAAUAACGCUUUCCAAUUGUAUUUGGCUUGCUAUUACGGCACUGAUCAAACAGUUCUACAGAAGGAAAAAAUUGCGUUUGAAUACGGUUUACCGUGUACUCAGUGCCCUGAGCCACACAACCAGUGUAGUAAUUAUUUGUGCUCUAAGUGUACAGACAGAAGGAAGAGGUGUA